UGGCGUCACCUAGCUUCGACUUCUCGACUCACGCGUGAUCGAACUGCGCCUGCGUCGGUUGGAUUUCUUAUUUACUUCGGUGCUUCAAGUUGUCGAUGUUUGUUCAGCACGCGUCGAGGGACAAUAUUUACUUUCAUAUGUAGCAACGGGACGAUAGCUGAUGCAUGAAAUCGCUGUCGUUAUUUCGUCAAAACACACACUCAUAAAUGGUCUUGACUAGUCGCCGUUAGAUCAACAAUGAAAACCGAAAAAUCUCGUUUCGAUAUUCGAGAUUUGGUCACUCUCUCCAUCUGUAUCUGGACCUCAUCAGUAUCACUCUUUGCGAGAUCCUCUUUUCAUCCGGAUUUCGAACACAGGCCUGUUCGUAUUCAAAAUCUCUUGG